rnacentral:rRNA from 1 species
GAUGAACGCUGGCGGCGUGCUUAACACAUGCAAGUCGAACGAAGCACUUUAUUUGAUUUCUUUCGGGACUGAUUAUUUUGUGACUGAGUGGCGGAAGGGUGAGUAACACGUGGGUAACAUGCCUUGUACAGGGGGAUAACAGUUGGAAACGGCUGCUAAUACCGCAUAAGCGCACAGCAUCGCAUGAUGCUGUGUGAAAAACUCCGGUGGUAUAAGAUGGACCCGCGUUGGAUUAGCUAGUGGGUGAGGUAACGGCCCACCAAGGCGACGAUCCAUAGCCGACCGGGGAGGGUGACCGGCCACAUUGGGACUGAGACACGGCCCAAACUCCUACGGGAGGCAGCAGUGGGGAAUAUUGCACAAUGGGCGAAAGCCUGAUGCAGCGACGCCGCGUGAGCGAAGAAGUAUUUCGGUAUGUAAAGCUCUAUCAGCAGGGAAGAUAAUGACGGUACCUGACUAAGAAGCACCGGCUAAAUACGUG